GACGAACGCUGGCGGCGUGCUUAACACAUGCAAGUCGAACGGAAAGGCCCUGCUAUUGUGGGGUGAUCGAGUGGCGAUCGCGUGAGUAACACGAGAGUAACCUGACCUUGAUUUUGGGAUAACUUCAGGAAACUGGGGCUAAUAUCGGAUAGGAGAUCCUCUUGCAUGGUGGGGGGUGGAACGUCUCGGCGGUUGCGGAUGGACUAGCGGCUUAUCAGCUAGUUGGUGGGGUAGUGGUUUACCCAGGAUUUGGAGGGUAGCCGGCCUGUGAGGGUGACCGGGCACAUUGGGACUGAGGUACGGCGCAGUGGCGUACGUGAGGCAGCAGGGGGGAAUAUUGCACAGUGGGCGGAAGCCUGAUGAGGCGGCGCUGCGUGCGGGAUGACGGCCUGCUGGUUGUAAACCGCUUUCGCCUGUGACGAAGCGUGAGUGACGGUAAUGAGUAAAGAAGCACCGGCUAACUACGUG
rnacentral:rRNA from 1 species